rnacentral:lncRNA from 1 species
GGAUAAAAUGCCUUCUGCUGUGACAUUCCUCACAUACUGUGUGCCUUGUGCCAAAGAGAAACACAUGAGGAGGUAAUGUCCUAGAGACUGCUUGACUAUAUUUUGAGUGGCAUAGCAGAGUCCUUCUCAGCCCAUCUACUCUCAAGAUGUCCUUAGUGGAGCGUGCUUUCCUUUUGUGUUUCUGCAGGUUCUUUCACCUUUCUCUGCAGAAAUCCCAACACAUCUGUUCAACAACCCCACCUCCAGCUGAGAAGAAGGUCCUGGGGAACCUCAUCGCACUGAGGGAGAGCAGAUCCAAGUCAGCUUUUAUCCAGAAUGGUUCAGGAGAUGCACAUAGUGCUUAGCCUUUCCUUUUCUGCUGACUCCUUGAGCCCCCACUCUGAGGAACUACUGAAAAAUCUUCUGUUCUACCACUGAACAUGAGGAGUGCACCCAAGUGGCCAAGAAAGUGCUCCAGACACCAGAGCAGCGAUUUCCCUGCAGCUUGCGUUGAUGACCAUGGCAAGGCAGGCUGUCCCCCUGCAGCCCAUGGAAAUCUGUUGUGGAACAGGUAACCACUGCCCAAGAGCAGGUGGAUUUGCCUUGAGGAAAGAUAUGAUGCCAUGGGAGGAUGCUUCUGGCAGGACUGUUGGCCCCGUAGAGAGAGGAGCCCAUCCUGGAGCAUGUUGGUGACAUCCAUGACCGACUACAUCCCCUGCAAAUGACCCACACUGUAGUAAUUUGAGAAAUAGCAACAACCCAAGAGAAGGAAUUACAUUGGAGAAGUUCUUGGAGGACUGUCUCCCAUGGGAGGGAUCCCACACUAUAGCAGGGGAAGUGUAUGAGGAGUCCUUCCCCUGAGGAGGAAGGAGCACCAGACACAACAUGUGAUGAACUGACCACAACUCCCAUUCUCUGUGCCCCUGCACCACUCGGGAAAAAGCGA